rnacentral:tRNA from 1 species
AGGCCUGAUUUCUUUAUAUAUCAGUUGGUUACGAGCGUUCCGUGGUCACCUUGACAUGGUGGGGGUCGUUGGUUCGAGUCCAAUCGCGCCUACCA